rnacentral:rRNA from 1 species
UACGUAGGCACCAAGCGUUGUCCGGAUUUAUUGGGCGUAAAGAGCUCGUAGGCGGCCACUCAAGUCGAAUGUGAAACCUCGAGGCUUAACCUCGAGCCUGCAUUCGAUACUGGGCGGCUAGAGUCUGGUAGGGGGAUCUGGAAUUCCUGGUGUAGCGGUGGAAUGCGCAGAUAUCAGGAGGAACACCGGUGGCGAAGGCGGGAUCCUGGGCCAGUACUGACGCUGAGGAGCGAAAGCGUGGGGAGCAAACAGG